GCGGAGGAAAAGAAACCAACAGGGAUUGCCCUAGUAACGGCGAGUGAAGCGGCAACAGCUCAAAUUUGAAAUCUGGCUCCUUUGGGGUCCGAGUUGUAAUUUGUAGAGGGUGCUUUGGCGUUGGCCAUGGUCUAAGUUCCUUGGAACAGGACGUCACAGAGGGUGAGAAUCCCGUACGUGGCCGUUGGCCUUCGCCAUGUAAAGCCCCUUCGACGAGUCGAGUUGUUUGGGAAUGCAGCUCUAAAUGGGAGGUAAAUUUCUUCUAAAGCUAAAUAUUGGCCAGAGACCGAUAGCGCACAAGUAGAGUGAUCGAAAGAUGAAAAGCACUUUGGAAAGAGAGUCAAAAAGCACGUGAAAUUGUUGAAAGGGAAGCGCUUGCAGCCAGACUUGCCCGUAGUUGCUCAUCCAGGUUUCGACCUGGUGCACUCUUCUGCGGGCAGGCCAGCAUCAGUCCAGGCGGUCGGAUAAAGGUCUUGGGAAUGUGGCUCUCUUCGGGGAGUGUUAUAGCCCAGGGCGUAAUGCGGCCAGCUUGGACUGAGGUCCGCGCAUCUGCUAGGAUGCUGGCGUAAUGGCUGUAAGCGGCCCGUCUUGAAACACGGACCAAGGAGUCUAACAUCUAUGCGAGUGUUUGGGUGUCAAGCCCGAGCGCGUAAUGAAAGUGAACGGAGGUGGGAACCCGCAAGGGCGCACCAUCGACCGAUCCUGAUGUCUUCGGAUGGAUUUGAGUAAGAGCAUAGCUGUUGGGACCCGAAAGAUGGUGAACUAUGCCUGAAUAGGGUGAAGCCAGAGGAAACUCUGGUGGAGGCUCGCAGCGGUUCUGACGUGCAAAUCGAUCGUCA
rnacentral:sRNA from 1 species